UUGUAGCUCAGUAGUAUCAGUAGAUGCUUAUUUGUAUUUGCACUCUGUUUUUUCCAGUGCACUUACUGAAUCAUGGCAUUAAUGCAAGUAAUGUUUCUGUAACUUUUCUCUGAAAAGUAUGUUCCUAAUAAGUCUCUACUUAAUCUCUGGUCCCUGAUGCUUGUUUGAAGAACUAUUUCUUUCUGGUGUGUUAUGAUUAACAGCUGUGCUUUGUUCUGGCUGCCCUUAAACUGUCUUGGAUUGAGCUUCUUCUAAGUUGUAGCAAACUUAGAUGACUUAAUCUUUUGUGGAGGUCGGUGAUCUGGGAAAAGACCGAAGAAUUGCAAAAUAAUCCAAGCUCAACAGCACUUGUCAUCUGAGGAUAUAAAACCUGGCUUCCAGAUGCUUUGUUUCCCAGUCCCUGUCUGACCUGGCUGCUACAGACGUCCUUUCAGGUCCAUACCUCCAGAUAAGGAAUUGAAGAAGGAGCAAGUAUGCACGAAGGUAGUAAGGCUUCAAGGAAAUCUGAAGAGAGCAGAACUGUGAGCUCUAUUCAGCAAUGUGAGAUUUAAUUGAAGGAAACUUGAAAAACAUGCACUUGGACUUGUUCGUUAUCAUUUUAAAGUAUGCAGUGAGAAAGUGAAGUAUUUCUGUUGGACAACCUGAAAUCUUUUGGGGUAUGUUUUCCUCUUUAUACUCCUGGGCAAAUACUGAGGAGAGGGUUUAUCAAAGAUUUAGGAAAGAUUCAUCAAUAAAUAAAGUGAUGACUAGCCUUUUUAAAAACAUGAAAGGUAAAUCUGAGAAUGACAAGCAAGGAAUGGACAGGUAGAGACUGAUCUUGGCCACUUUUGUCCUGGACUUCACUGUUGCAAGCUUGACUGUGUUAGGAUGCCUCUUGGAGGUCUGGGAUGAGCACUCACAGGCCUAUUCUGCAAUAUGUGCUUAAACUAUGCAUGAACUAGCAGGUGCUAGCAGCUUAGCAUGAACUUGACUAGACCAAAGUCAUGCAGCAUGAAUCUUCUGAAUACCGCUGCACAAAGAGCUGUAUAAUGGUGCUGCCACCUCAGCAUUGCACAGUUGCUUGGGAAAUCCUUCAGUCACUGGAGUGAAAGACCAAUGGAAAUUGCUGCUUGUUUUCUGCCAGCUCCCAUGAAAACCCACUGAGAUGCUGGAAAGUCAUUUGCAAACAGACUUCUCCUUUAGGAGUAACUUUAUUUCUUUUUAAUAUCCUCAAUGAACCAUGUAAAUAGUGUGACAUUCUUUGCCAUAUGAUCUAUAGGCCUGCUGAAAAUACUAUUUCUAGCUUUUUAAACAAACCUUUAUUGGUGAAUGACAUCCAUGCAGCUGCACUUCAGCUAUAUAAUUUAAAAUAAUUACUAAUUAAACAAAAUAAGAGACUGUAAUAGCAAUAAUCAACUUGGCAGUAGCCAUUACACAACUUACAGUUUGCUGGAGCAUUACCUAGGGAAAAUAAUUUAAAAGGAAGGAAAGAGGGGGGGAGUUUCAGGAACUGCUGCCAGGGACUGAAUUCUUGAGUUCUUAGGCUCAAGUAAGGAACAAGAUACCUCUUGGGAGUAGUCAGCAAAUACAGAGCUAAUUUUAUAUUGCUCUGUAACAUCAACACUCUCCUGUUUCAAGGAAGUUGUAUGCUGAUACAGAGGACAGGCUGCCAUUGAAGAGAACAAGCCUAUGGGAAUGUAACUUUACAUUGGGCAAACUAUGUAUCCACCUCAGAAUUAGAUGAGGAGACAAAUCUGAAAAUCCAUGUAAUAACUUCAAUAACAGAGCAUUCUCAAUGUGAGGCAAAGCAUCUGAGUAAUUGCCAUAUCUGUGGGCACUGCUUUUGCAUAUUAUGAAGUACUACAGUUACCAAGUUUUAUUUGGUAGAGUGGUAGAAUUAAUUGUGAUUGGAGAAUCUAAGUUCAUUUUCCCCUCCAAAACAAAGAGGCUUAAACUAUGUUUGUGUAAUAAUUUUAUUUUAAAUUAGCUUGGAGUGGAAUUGCUGCCAAUGUUACAUGAGGUCACCUCUGUCUGUCUUUAACAAUUUUGGAAACCUCCAGAGAUGGAAAUUCACCUGCCUCUUUAGUAGCCUGUUCUAGUGCUGCACUAACCUCCCAGUAAAAAGAUUUUUCUAAAGCUGGGCUGAACCUCCAAAGCAGCACUUAGUUGCCCCUUGUUCUUUUGCCUGGCACUGGGGAGAAGUGGUUGACUCUCAUUUGUAACUCUCCUGUUGUUACCAGAUCACCCUAACUUCCUCUUUGCCAGGAUGAGCAAGCCCAGCUUCCCCUUCAUAAAUAUCGGGCUCUAGGCCUGCUGCUGUACCCUCCCUCUUCAUAUCCCUUUUUUCAGAGUGGGGCCCCAAAACAGGCUCAGUGCUCCAGAUGCAGCCUCACCAGCACUGUGUAGAGAUAAAUACCAUUGAUCUACUGGCCACACUUCUAAUGGAGCCAAGUAUGCAGUUGACUUUGUGAUGAGAGCUUGUUGUGGCUCAUGUUCGGCCUGCUGUUGACAUAACUCCCAGGUCUUUUCAGACUGCUCGUCAGAAAUGCAGUAAGUACCUUUGGCACCUGUGUUCCAGCCCUGGUUCCUUUUCUGUAUGCACUGAAAUUGUUCUGUUGUGUGGGUGAUAAUCUUCCUUCCUAAUAGAAAGGCUGCAAAAUGGUUUUGUAGCUUCUGUUAUUUAUCAAACUCCUGGACUAGCUAAGAGUGGAAUAAAGGCAUUUGUACAUGCUAAUGUGGUAAACUGUCAAUGUAUGUAUCUAAUAAGCACUGAAAUGUGCCUACAUCUCCCCUACUGGUUAUCUCCUUUGGAGGAAGACAAACUGGUUCUUGCUGUAUACUGUACAUGUAAAUAAAAACAGAAUGGACUGUGAGACAUGCUGCCAUUAAAGGAUUGCAGUUCAACAUCA